CAGUCGCCGCGGGAAUACGAAGGGUGCAAGCGUUACUCGGAAUUACUGGGCGUAAAGCGUGUGUAGGUGGUUGUUUAAGUCUGUCGUGAGAGCCCUGGGCUCAACCUGGGAAUUGCGAUGGAUACUGGGCGACUAGAGUGCGGUAGAGGAUAGUGGAAUUUCCGGUGUAGCAGUGAAAUGCGUAGAGAUCGGAAGGAACAUCUGUGGCGAAGGCGACUAUCUGGGCCAACACUGACACUGAGACACGAAAGCGUGGGGAGCAAACAGGAUUAGAGACCCCCGUAGUCCCUGUCUCUUAUAC
rnacentral:rRNA from 1 species